rnacentral:rRNA from 1 species
AGAGUUUGAUCAUGGCUCAGAUUGAACGCUGGCGGCAUGCCUUACACAUGCAAGUCGAACGGUAACGCGGGGCAACCUGGCGACGAGUGGCGAACGGGUGAGUAAUGCAUCGGAACGUGCCCAGUAGUGGGGGAUAGCCCGGCGAAAGCCGGAUUAAUACCGCAUACGACCUACGGGUGAAAGGGGGGGAUCGCAAGACCUCUCGCUAUUGGAGCGGCCGAUGUCAGAUUAGGUAGUUGGUGGGGUAAAGGCCUACCAAGCCGACGAUCUGUAGCUGGUCUGAGAGGACGACCAGCCACACUGGGACUGAGACACGGCCCAGACUCCUACGGGAGGCAGCAGUGGGGAAUUUUGGACAAUGGGCGCAAGCCUGAUCCAGCCAUGCCGCGUGCGGGAAGAAGGCCUUCGGGUUGUAAACCGCUUUUGUCAGGGAAGAAAUCUUCUGAGUUAAUACCUCGGGAGGAUGACGGUACCUGAAGAAUAAGCACCGGCUAACUACGUGCCAGCAGCCGCGGUAAUACGUAGGGUGCGAGCGUUAAUCGGAAUUACUGGGCGUAAAGCGUGCGCAGGCGGUUAUGUAAGACAGAUGUGAAAUCCCCGGGCUCAACCUGGGAACUGCAUUUGUGACUGCAUAGCUUGAGUGCGGCAGAGGGGGAUGGAAUUCCGCGUGUAGCAGUGAAAUGCGUAGAUAUGCGGAGGAACACCGAUGGCGAAGGCAAUCCCCUGGGCCUGCACUGACGCUCAUGCACGAAAGCGUGGGGAGCAAACAGGAUUAGAUACCCUGGGUAGUCCACGCCCUAAACGAUGUCAACUGGUUGUUGGGAAGGUUCCUUCUCAGUAACGUAGCUAACGCGUGAAGUUGACCGCCUGGGGAGUACGGGCCGCAAGGUUGAAACUUAAAGGAAUUGACGG